AUUGAACGCUGGCGGAAUGCUUUACACAUGCAAGUCGAACGGUAGAGGGGGCAACCCCUUGAGAGUGGCGAACGGGUGAGUAAUACAUCGGAACGUGCCCAGUCGUGGGCGAUAACGUAGCGAAAGCUACGCUAAUACCGCAUACGACCUGAGGAUGAAAGCGGGGGACCUUCGGGCAUCGCGCGAUCGGAGCGGCCGAUGGCAGAUUAGGUAGUUGGUGAGGUAAAGGCUCACCAAGCCGACGAUCGGUAGCUGGUCUGGGAGGAUGGUCAGCCACACUGGGACUGAGACACGGCCCAGACUCCUACGGGAGGCAGCAGUGGGGAAUUUUGGACAAUGGGCGCAAGCCUGAUCCAGCCAUUCCGCGUGCAGGAUGAAGGCCUUCGGGUUGUAAACUGCUUUUGUACGGAACGAAAAGGCUCUGGUUAAUACCCGGGGCUCAUGACGGUACCGUAAGAAUAAGCACCGGCUAACUACGUGCCAGCCGCCGCCGUAA
rnacentral:rRNA from 1 species